rnacentral:rRNA from 1 species
AAGCAUAUAACUAAGCGGAGGAAAAGAAACUAACCAGGAUUCCCUCAGUAAGGGCGACUGAAGCGGGAAGUGCUCAGGAUGUGAAUCAGCGUGAUAAUUGUCGCGCCGAAUUGUGGUCUGUAGACGGUGGCAUUACUAGCCGGGCCAAGUCCCUUGGAACAGGGCAGCUGAGAGGGUGAGACUCCCGUUCGCCCGGUAAGGUGAGCCGCCAGUCAACGAGUCGAGUUGUUUGGGAUUGCAGCUCUAAGUGGGUGGUAAAUUCCAUCUAAAGCUAAAUAUUGGUGGGAGACCGAUAGCGUACAAGUACCGUGAGGGAAAGAUGCAAAGAACUUUGAAAAGAGAGUUAAAGAGUACCUGAAAUUGCUGAAAGGGAAGCGAAGGAAACCAGUGUUUGAGCGAUUAUAUUUCCCCGUCCGCUUGCGGUUGGGGCGCUGUGAUCGGUCUUGGUUGUCCUUGGUUGGAACCUUUGGAAGGGCGCGGUGAGAGUUGAUCUCCGUUGCUAGCACUGGUUCUGACUGAGGAGGACGAAAUGGUUUUCUUUACCCCGUCUUG